AACGUCAACCGGACUGGUUUUCCGUGUUAACUCAACAGCGUGGGCUCGCCAAUAUUCAAUGAGUAUGUGAAUUUUAGCUGACAAUCAGGCGUGGAAACUAAGAAGGUGGAGUGAUUUCAAUGAUUAACUAUCAAAUGGUCCAAGUUUCACGUGACGCGUUAAACGUACUCUUAACAAGAUCUUCUCCAUAAUCAUCAUAAUAUCGUUUUUAUCAUCGUCCCAUAAAGAAAGAAACCUUGGAGAUGAUUAUUAACAAGACUAGCCAGACCUUCUGUCUAGCAGGAUCAGAAGUCUACGAUGAAAAGAUGAUUUUGUGAUACGCCCAUGACGAUGAUGCUAAAUUGAUGAGUUACUUUUUCUAGAUAUUAGCUGCUAAGGGGCUGAUCAUGGUAGAAAAAUUCAGUAUUCAGAAAGCAAAGGAAAACCAGAAUGAAAUGUAUGCCCGGAUACGGAUGCGACUCGAUUCAUUUGAAUUUGACCAUGAAGUGAAGGUUUAACUGCUUCAACUAGUGUUGUUUCCAAGGGGCUAAACUGUCUUCUUUGUUAACACCAUGAAAUGUAUUAAAUUCUAUUUAUGGGCCAGCUAAUCAAAGAGCUCAUCUCAAACCAUCACUUGACUCAUUAGUUUCAUCUUCUCUUCCUCCUCCUCAAAAAAGUAUUAACACUGGAAUUCCCUCCCUGGGAAUCUAUUAACUCCAAAGGCAUUCUAAGUACUGAUUCAUUUAUCAAAUUGGUCAUCUCAAAGUUAGCUUGCUAUUGAGAUGCAUGAUAGUUACCUUUUGACCCAUAUUAACAUCCAAAUUUUUGUAAACCUUUUAAAUUCUAAUCUAUUUCAACUUUAAACUAUCAAAGAGGAUCAUGUUUUAAUGCUGGUUAAUGUGCUGAUUCUAUAUGUUUUUCAAAAUAAUUUCAAACUGCGCUGACUAUGGGGAAACCAUUGACGUAAACGAGUAUAAUAUCUACUGAAUUUUCUUCUUGGUUGGAUUCUAUUUUUAGUGAUUGAAGUUAAUUUAUACGCUCACACGCUUAAUUCAGAUCUCGGCCUAGAAUAUAUCAUUGAAAAGUGAAAAAAGCAACAGCAACUUAAAGCGGAACCAGAUUGGCGACAUUGAGGGAAAGAAGCUUUUACAGGCGCUGAAAAAAUCAGCUAAAUCUCAUUCAAAUUGAUGAUUGAAAGUAAAAUUGGCUCAAAUAAUGCCUGAUGAAAGAAUGUCUGAAAA